GGGAAGACUUUAAAGGAGUAAGGCGAAAAGGAAAGGAAGGAAGCUAACAGCAGUACGAAGACUUCAAAAAGCAUGUGCAUCAGACAUCAGAAACCGAGGCCCAGAAGCGGCAUCUGCCAAGGAACAAAGCCAAUUCUACUAUCUCUCUUGCAAUUUAAGGAGAAAGGGUUCACUGUGCAGUUGAUGG